rnacentral:rRNA from 1 species
UGGGGAAUUUUGGACAAUGGGGGAAACCCUGAUCCAGCCAUCCCGCGUGUGCGAUGAAGGCCUUCGGGUUGUAAAGCACUUUUGGCAGGAAAGAAACGUCGUGGGUUAAUACCCCGCGAAACUGACGGUACCUGCAGAAUAAGCACCGGCUAACUACGUGCCAGCAGCCGCGGUAAUACGUAGGGUGCAAGCGUUAAUCGGAAUUACUGGGCGUAAAGCGUGCGCAGGCGGUUCGGAAAGAAAGAUGUGAAAUCCCAGAGCUUAACUUUGGAACUGCAUUUUUAACUACCGGGCUAGAGUGUGUCAGAGGGAGGUGGAAUUCCGCGUGUAGCAGUGAAAUGCGUAGAUAUGCGGAGGAACACCGAUGGCGAAGGCAGCCUCCUGGGAUAACACUGACGCUCAUGCACGAAAGCGUGGGGAGCAAACAGGAUUAGAUACCCUGGUAGUCCACGCCCUAAACGAUGUCAACUAGCUGUUGGGGUCCUCGGACCUUGGUAGCGCAGCUAACGCGUGAAGUUGACCGCCUGGGGAGUACGGUCGCAAGAUU